AUUUUCUUUCCUACAACUUCAAAGGGCAAAAUUAAAAGUAAAUAGGGCAACUUCUAGUUGGAGUACACAAAUUGAAAAACACCACUGCCGCCUCCAUUCCGUACUUAGACGUCCUUCGAGAAUCCACUGUGGAGAACAGCUAAAUGAAAGAAUCCAAAGAGGAAGCGAAGUCUAUCAAAGAAUUGGGAGUUUCUGAUCAACUGAUUGAGGCUUGUGAUAAUUUGGGUUGGAAAACUCCUUCUAAAAUACAAGCUGAAACUAUUCCUCAUGCCUUUGAAGGCAAAGACUUAACUGGUCUGGCUCAAACGGGUUCUGGGAAGACUGGAGCUUUUGCAAUUCCUAUACUGCAAGUCCUAUUAGAUUCUCUGCAUACCUUUUUUGCCUGCGUUCUCUCUCCAACGAGAGAGCUCGCGAUUCAAAUUGCUGAACAAUUUGAAGCUUUAGGAUCCGGUGUUGGAGUAAAAUGGCCUUAAAAAAACGAGUUGGUGUUGCAAUAUUUAUAUGGAAAUGCACGUUUAGGGGACAAACAGAGGAGUACCGGCUGCAGUUUACCUCUGAUGCUGUUGCUUCAAUAUACCUAUCCCAGCCUUAACUAAGCAUGUCAGGUGGCAACACCUGGUCGGCUACUGGAUCAUCUUGCCAUACUAAAGGGUUUUCUCUUCGUACGAUAAAGUACUUGGUAAGUUUGUCCAUUGAGUCUUAUGCUAAAAGUAUUCCAGAUAUGUUCUCGUUCUGCCUGUUUAUGUACUCUUUUUGUUUUCUUUUGGAUGAAAACCCAAAAGUGCAAUGUUGAUUCUCAACAUUUGGUUGAAGGAUAUGUUAUUAUGUCACUGUUGACAUUAAAAGUGAUAUUUGCUGCAUGUUCAAGGCUAGGCCUUUUGAUGUUUGGCAAGUGAUAUGAUUUCGAAUGCUGUCUGGUCCAUAUUUCCCACAGCGUGCAUACAGUAUAUCUCUUGUCAGAGGUGAAGCUGCUUGUCAUUUUUUCCUGGCAGCAUUGACGUCUUUACUUUUUAACUUUCCAACAUAUUGAGCCGCAGAAAGCAUUUGACUACAUAUGUUCCUCUGAAACUUGCUUAUCUCCAUGUGGGUUGACAGUUAAAUGAUUUUCUCCCAACUACAGCAUGAGGUACACUGGCACAUCGCCUUAGGUGCGGACAAUUGGACCAAGCAAGAAAUUCAUUAAUUUGAAGCAAUAUGUAUCCAAAAAUAAAAUGCAGUUCAUUAUAUUCGAUGCGAAUGGUAUUGGAUGAGGCAGACAUCCCUCAUGAUCGAAGGAUUUACCUAUUUUCUGCUACAAUGUCCAACAAGGUUAGCUUUCACGUGGUUUAUAUGAAUCCAUUUUUAAUCAUAAAUGGUCUAUUCUCUGUGUGUGGAUAAUUUCUCUUUCUAGGUUUCGUUCUUAAGAGAAAUUCCCUUCUCUGAUGGCGGAUAGGUAUUUUUCCUGAGUACUUGGGGUAGGAAAAGUGCUUUCGUGAAAAUUUUCCUUUUUUAUUUUCCAAAUAUCAUAUGCUCGGUCUGACAUUUAUAUAAGAAGAUACCUGAAAAUGGAGGAGCUUUUUACUUGUUUUUCAACUUUUUCUCAUAUUGGCAUGCAACUAAUGAUCAAUAAUCAUUGUUAUGGCAGUAGAUGCACUUAUUCUCUAUAUCGUAAUAGCAAUAUGAUUAUUACAUGAAAUUGUCUAGGAAAGAAAAAUGAGAAGGUGGGGUUGUUGUGAAUGGCAAGUUAAUUUGCUCAUGUUCUGCUUUUCUCUUUAAGGAAUUUAUUUGUAUGCCUAAUAGUUUCUGCUAUGCCACUCUUGAUGAAACCUUCGAGGAGUGAACUUUUUGCAUGGGAAGUCUGAUUCUUAAUAUAUUUGUACACUGAACUACAAGUAAAGAAACUUCAUAGGGCUUGUUUGAGAAAUCCUGUUAAGGUACAAAUAUAACGAUGCCAAUUUUCACCAUAUAAUUUGUAGAUGGUCAAGAGUAUUUUGCGUAACUUUGUUUAUAAUUUGUUUCAGAUUGAAGCUGCAUCUAAAUAUUCCACUGUUGAUACACUGAAGCAGCAGUUUCGUUUUCUUCCUGCUAAGUAUAAGUCCAACUCAUGCCCAGAAUUACCAGAAACAUAUUCCACAACGGCCUAGUGACCCUACAAUGCAAGAGGAGGUGGAAAACUUCAUCCGGAUGUUCUUCACGCAAUGGACAUCUACUGCGCAGUUGAAGCCCCCUCUUUUGGAGGUUCGAUUGUGUGAGACAAGCCUCUCGAGCAACAAUCCAAGAGAAACAAGAAACCUUCAAAGGAGCCUUGCUUCUCCAAACCUUUUCCCAAGGACAUAGUACCUCAUCGCUGCAAGAAUCUAGCAUGUGGUAGCAAUUUUUGACUGAAAAGAGACCCUGUUGAUCGCUUUUCCAACCUAUGGAGUCUGUUUUGUUGUGCUCCAAGGCUAUGUUGUUUAUCCUCCGAAGCAAAAUACAGUCUUUCCACUUCUCAAUCAUUAAAAUUCCUUCUAGGUUA